rnacentral:rRNA from 1 species
UGGAAUGGGUUAGUCCGUACGAGCGCACCCUUGUCCUUAGUUACCAGCACGUUAUGGUGGGCACUCUAAGGAGACUGCCGGUGACAAACCGGAGGAAGGUGGGGAUGACGUCAAGUCAUCAUGGCCCUUACGGCCUGGGCUACACACGUGCUACAAUGGUCGGUACAGAGGGUUGCCAAGCCGCGAGGUGGAGCUAAUCUCACAAAACCGAUCGUAGUCCGGAUCGCAGUCUGCAACUCGACUGCGUGAAGUCGGAAUCGCUAGUAAUCGCGAAUCAGAAUGUCGCGGUGAAUACGUUCCCGGGCCUUGUAA